ACAGAGGGGGCAAGCGUUGCUCGGAAUCACUGGGCGUAAAGGGUGCGUAGGCGGCGCGGUAAGUCGGGUGUGAAAUCUUGGAGCUUAACUCCGAAACUGCAUUCGAUACUGCCGUGCUUGAGGACUGGAAAGGAGACUGGAAUUUACGGUGUAGCGGUGAAAUGCGUAGAUAUCGUAAGGAAGACCAGUGGCGA
rnacentral:rRNA from 1 species